UGUCGAAAGAAAGAAUUUAACUUUAUGGCGAGACCAGCAUCAGAUUUCGAGGUCAAGCCUAAAAUUAAUAGGGAGAUGUAUGAGCAAGCAUAGGGGAAUUUGAGGCGGAAGCUGAUGCCCAGUUAGAAUAGAAGAAGGCGGGAGGAAAGAACGAAUACAGGAGGAACGGGGGAGGCCACGAAUUCCCAACAUGAGGAAGAGGAAGAAAGAGAGGCCACGGCAUUCCUAACACGAGGAAGAGACUCAAUUUGACGAGGGUCCCUCGACCUCAAAUUUCAGGGGAAAGGCCACGGUAAGAGCCCCAUUUUAUUAAAGUUUCUUGUUCAGUCGUUUAUACACUCUGAAUAUUUUA